rnacentral:tRNA from 1 species
GGAGGAGUGGCAGAGUGGUCGAUCGCGGCGGUCUUGAAAACCGUUGUCCUUAACAGGACCGUGGGUUCAAAUCCUACCUCCUCCGCCA